GCGGCCGUUAUCUAACGGUAUGACAGUGACCUACCAUGCCACUGAUUCGGGUUCGAUUCCCGGCGGCCGCA
rnacentral:tRNA from 1 species